rnacentral:piRNA from 1 species
UAGAGACUGUCAUCAGGUUCU